UACGAAGGGUGCGAGUGUUGUUCGGAAUAACUGGGCGUAAAGGGUGCGUAGGCGGCCAAAUUAGUGAUAUGUGAAAUCCCCAAGCUCAACUUGAGAACUGCAUAUCAUACUUUUUGGCUUGAGUAUGAUAGAGGAAACGGGAAUUCCUAGUGUAGGGGUGAAAUUCACAGAUAUUAGGAGGAACACCACAGGCGAAGGCAAGUUUCUGGGUCAUCACUGACGCUGAGGCACGAAAGCGUGGGGAGCAAACAGG
rnacentral:rRNA from 1 species